UACGUAGGGGGCAAGCGUUGUCCGGAAUCAUUGGGCGUAAAGCGCACGUAGGCGGCCUCAUAAGUCGGAUGUGAAAUCCCUCGGCUCAACCGAGGACGUGCAUCCGAAACUGUGAAGCUCGAGUAUGGAAGAGGGUCGCGGAAUUCCCGGUGUAGAGGUGAAAUUCGUAGAUAUCGGGAGGAACACCAGUGGCGAAGGCGGCGACCUGGGCCAAUACUGACGCUGAGGUGCGAAAGCGUGGGGAGCAAACAGG
rnacentral:rRNA from 1 species